GACGAACGCUGGCGGCGUGCUUAACACAUGCAAGUCGAACGGAAAGGCCCUGCUUUUGUGGGGUGCUCGAGUGGCGAACGGGUGGGAAACACGUGAGUAACCUGCCCUUGACUUUGGGAUAACUUCAGGAAACUGGGGCUAAUACCGGAUAGGAGCUCCUGCUGCAUGGUGGGGGUUGGAAAGUUUCGGCGGUUGGGGAUGGACUCGCGGCUUAUCAGCUUGUUGGUGGGGUAGUGGCUUACCAAGGCUUUGACGGGUAGCCGGCCUGAGAGGGUGACCGGCCACAUUGGGACUGAGAUACGGCCCAGACUCCUACGGGAGGCAGCAGUGGGGAAUAUUGCACAAUGGGCGGAAGCCUGAUGCAGCAACGCCGCGUGCGGGAUGACGGCCUUCGGGUUGUAAACCGCUUUCGCCUGUGACGAAGCGUGAGUGACGGUAAUGGGUAAAGAAGCACCGGCUAACUACGUG
rnacentral:rRNA from 1 species